ensembl:snRNA U6 U6 spliceosomal RNA
GUGCUCAUUUCGGCAGCACAUAUAUUAAAAUUGGAACGAUACAGACAUUAGCAUGGCCCCCUGUGCAAGGAUGACAUGCAAAUUGGUGAAGCGUUACAUAUAAAA